rnacentral:rRNA from 1 species
UACGUAGGGUGCGAGCGUUGUCCGGAAUUACUGGGCGUAAAGAGCUCGUAGGUGGUUUGUCGCGUCGUCUGUGGAAUCCUGCGGCUCAACCGCGGGCGUGCAGGCGAUACGGGCAGACUUGAGUGCUGCAGGGGAGACUGGAAUUCCUGGUGUAGCGGUGAAAUGCGCAGAUAUCAGGAGGAACACCGGUGGCGAAGGCGGGUCUCUGGGCAGUUACUGACGCUGAGGAGCGAAAGCGUGGGUAGCAAACAGG